CAAUAGCGCAUGUUAAAGUUGUUGCAGUUAAAAGCUCGUAGCUGGAUUUGUGGCUGUCGCGUGCGGCCUGACACAUUGUGUUAGUGUUUGCUUGCGUCGCCAUCCUUGGGUGGAACCUGUGUGGCAUUAGGUUGUCGUGCAGGGGAUGCCCAUCGUUUACUGUGAAAAAUUAGAGUGUUCAAAGCAGGCUUAUGCCUCUGAAUAUAUUAGCAUGGAAUAAUGAUAUAGGACCUUGGUACUAUUUUGUUGGUUUGCGCACUGAGGUAAUGAUUAAGAGGGACAGUUGGGGGUAUUUGUAUUCCAUUGUCAGAGGUGAAAUUCUUGGAUUUUUGGAAGACAAACUACUGCGAAAGCAUUUACCAAGGAUGUUUUCAUUAAUCAAGAACGAAAGUUAGGGGAUCGAAGACGAUCAGAU
rnacentral:rRNA from 1 species